rnacentral:rRNA from 1 species
GGACUACUGGGGUAUCUAAUCCUGUUUGCUCCCCUAGCUUUCGCAGAUCAGAGUCAGUGACGGUCCAGUAGCCUGCUUUCGCCAUAGGUAUUCCUCCCGAUAUCUACGCAUUUCACCGCUACACCGGGAAUUCCAGCUACCUCUACCACACUCUAGCCUGGUAGUUUCCCUUGACCUCUCCCAGUUGAGCCGGGAGCUUUCACAAGAGACUUUCCAAACCUCCUACCUGCGCUUUACGCCUAGUGAUUCCGAGUAUCGCUUGCCACCUACGUAUUACCGCGGCUGCUGGCAC